rnacentral:misc_RNA from 1 species
AGUCGUAACAAGGUUUCCGUAGGUGAACCUGCGGAAGGAUCAUUAACAAAAUCUAUCAUAUUGACCCGUUGAACCGUGCGCAUGCAUUGAUUUACUGAGGAAAGCUGAGUGAGUUCUUCUCAUUCGCCUUUCUCGGUGGUCGAUGCAGGUGCUGCGUGUAAGGCUUUGGCAUCAGUUCGAUGCGGCUUUACAUUGUCUAUAAGUCUAUAUUUUGUCCCAAUAUACAAAUAACCUAGUACAACUAUUAACAGUGGAUCUCUAGGCUCCCA